GACGAACGCUGGCGGCGUGCCUAAUACAUGCAAGUCGAGCGAAUCUUUGGGAGCUUGCUCCUAAAGGUUAGCGGCGGACGGGUGAGUAACACGUGGGCAACCUGCCUAUAAGACUGGGAUAACUUCGGGAAACCGGAGCUAAUACCGGAUAAUUCCUUUCCUCUCAUGAGGAAAGGCUGAAAGACGGUUUCGGCUGUCACUUAUAGAUGGGCCCGCGGCGCAUUAGCUAGUUGGUGAGGUAACGGCUCAUCAAGGCAACGAUGCGUAGCCGACCUGAGAGGGGGAGCGGCCACACGGGGACUGAGACACGGCCCAGACUCCUACGGGAGGCAGCAGUAGGGAAUCUUCCGCAAUGGACGAAAGUCUGACGGAGCAACGCCGCGUGAGUGAUGAAGGUUUUCGGAUCGUAAAACUCUGUUGUUAGGGAAGAACAAGUACGAGAGUAACUGCUCGUACCUUGACGGUACCUAACCAGAAAGCCACGGCUAACUACGUGCCAGCCGCCGCCGUAAGAC
rnacentral:rRNA from 1 species